rnacentral:lncRNA from 1 species
AUGGCCCAGACCCAAGCGUCCGGACUCCAUCAUUCCAACGCGCUGUGUCCCCAUGCUGUCACUCAGGAGCGCCUGGCCGCCCUGCACUGUCUGUGCUGUAAGUGGUUUGUGGAGGUAAGUGUGCCCUGCUUAGAGCCCCGAGCCCGGGGCUGUGGCGGGGGAGGGGUGCUCCAGGUGAGGCUGUCUCUCCAGCUUCUAGAGUGGUCGCUAGAAAAGGUCCUUGGUGCUCGCUUUUGCAGAGAAGCCUGUCUCGGGAGAACUGGACUGACCAGGUGCAGCUCCACUCCUAGGACAGCUGAGGUGCCUUUCCAAGACCAGAGGGAUGAUUACUACCAGCUGCCCAUCGCCAGAGAGGACAUCCUCUCCUUGGACUCCUGGGACCUGGCCAGGCAUGAGGAGGAGCUCCUGCAGCCCAGCCAGGUGGUCGGUGCGGACCUGGAGUGGUGA